UCUUGGCCCGUUUCUUGAUCUGGUUUUCUUUCUUUUCUUUAUUUUUCUUCGAUCUAGUUUUGAUUCACUAUUUUGGGGGAAUCAGGUCCAUGUUGAUUUGCUAUACUUGGCGUGUUCCCAAUCGAGAUCAAAGUUGUUAUUUCUGUUGGGAUUUCUUGUGCGAGCAUGUUCUUGAUUCAGAUGAAGUGCACAAUAUUUCCGUUGGAAUUUCCAGGGAUAACGUAUUUGUUGGACAUUCUAUUUUGGACAAAAAAAUCAAAUUGGUGUCUGAUGUAUUCUAGCCUCAAUAAUUUUGGAUCCAAAUAUGCAGUCGUCCCUCUCUCUGUAACCACGAUGGAUCUUGCCGUGGGGUGCUUCCAUGGUUGACCUUGCCGUGGGGUCUCGAGCUCAGCCGGCGCCGUGCCUCCUUGGGGACAGAGGGCUGCCCUCGCCGCAUUCCCCCGACAGCGCCCGGCACCCCUCCAUCCUCCUCCCCCAUGGCUUCUGUCCCUGCGUCUCCCAUAUCGACGAGAAGGGAGGAGCCCUACUCCAGCCGCGGCGUGCUGCGAGCUGCGAGUACGGAGUUUAUGAGCGGCUCACCGGAUGUGUCGUACAGGCAGGAGGGAGGAGGGACUGCUCGUGUUCUGUAUUUUUUGGGCGAAAUUGGGUCUGUGCUGCUGGUCUCCGCAUUCAGUAUAUCUUAUAUCUCUCUCCUGCUCCUGGAUUCCAGUAGUUGAUUGCCUCGAUGGUCCACACCUGUUUCUGAUAAUGCUUGCUUAUGUGGAUUUUUGGAUCUAUUCAUGAUGUAGCAGAAGCCUUGUAUUAUUUUUUGUCUUCAGUCACGAAUUUAUUCAUGUAUCUGAAUCUAGCAGCGCAAAUCUCUACUAAACUUAGGAAUAGUCAGAGCUGUUAAUAAUGUGGAGCAUCAUGAUCCAUGUGUAUCUUUUGGAUUUUCUUCCUCUUGUUCACUCGUUUACCAAUGUCAAGUUCAAUGAUAUGCAAAGUAUUCACCUCCAGGUAGGGGAAUCGUGGAUAUAACAAUUGCAGAAUUGCUUUGUGCCAUCCACUAAAUAUGGCUUUGCUUUGUCCGUAACAAUUACAGAGAUCAUGCUUGGUGGCUUUACAUGUAUGAGGUGGUGAAUAUCCACGGCACUUGUGAAGGCAAAAUCUCCAUCGAAGAGGAGUGGAAUCCACCCGAUCCAGUGUGCUGAUCGCCGCAUCCUUUGUUAUCUCUGAAUGGCCAAACAAUUUGACUUUUCUAUUCCUUAGUCUAAUGUUUAUGAAUAAUGGCCAAGGCAUUCGAGGGAGGAGAAACUCCAGUGCCUGCCUUGUUCGACAGGCCUAAGAGAAAUUUCAGGCUAGCGGAACUCGGAAAGAUCGCGUCGUUUGGCAGGACUAUGCAUUGUCGCUUCGGCAUUUGCUGGAGCCUUCUUCAUAUGCAGCCGCAGGCAGGCAUUCGCGGCGAUGAACUGAAUCGGCGUGUUGCAUGCAUGUGCUUGCUGUUCGGCUCCUAUGCCGCAGCUGAGCGUUGAUCACUGAGGUGUCAUGUUGGGUGUCUUCUACUCAUUCUUCUUCUUAGUCAUUUUCUUCCACCGAGCUCAAGAUGUGUUCGCGUCCAUCACAUGAUCUGCCAGCGAUGAUUUCACAUGACCUUGAAUGUACUGUUUUCUCAUC